UUUCCGGCCUUGACCCUUACGCACGGAGAUUGUUCCAGAUUCUCUGAAUCUUUGGAUGAUAUUAUCAGACACUGCCGUGAAAGACGCACAGACUCAGCAUCAGUGCAGUCAGAUCAGUGAAAUUGUUGAACAUUAAGUGUCCCCAACUAAGCAAGCCAGAGGUGACAGUGGCAAGGAACCCAAAUUCCAUCAGGUGACAGAAUGGAGACAAAAAAAACCAGGCUCAGUCGGUGGACCAGUCCUCCUCUGGCCAAAUGAAGCAACAUGGUGUGGUUUAAUUCCAGCCUGCAUCACAAGUCUGAAGUCAGAAUGCGGCCUUCUGUAUAUCAUCAUCAUCUGAUUGAGGAUUCUUUAGCUCUCUGAUAACAAUUCGCAUGCUAACUGUUCCCCUGCCAGCUCACUGAAAUGAAUGAAACUUCAUCCCUUCUGAUCCAAGCCUGAUCUCAUCCUUCUGAAUACAUUUCUUACCCACAGACCCCUGACUCGAAGGGGAAUACAGAGAGUUCAUGCAAUACUUCAUGUAUAUCCUCUAUUCAUGCCCUGCACUGAAUAAAGCUUUUGUCUGGUUUAUCCAUUUGUAUGUUGUACUGUAUGACUAAGUUGGUGAGUGUCCAGUUCUGACAAUGAUUAGACAAUAAUGUAUUUCAAAUGACAACAAACACAGAUUGUCAUUUUUGGUAUGUAGAUUACAUGUAAAGCUUCCUGAAAUGCAUGCAAGCAAAUGUGUAUUCCAGUGAUAUCAGAUCUGGAAUAUUAAUAACAUUUUUCUUUUAUACCAGUUGUGUUUGUGUAUGACCUAAUAAGUGCUGAACAGCUAUUUCUUCUGUAAUGUGAUGAUUCAUGCUGAUCAGACGUUUUUGCUAAAAGCAUCUUGCUGCCAGCUGACCCUCUGUACUGCUUCAGGGCAGUAAAAUGCAGUAUAGGGUACAGGGCUAUUUUGGAGGGUGAAUAAUUCUACUUUGUAAGUGCAGAAGCAAAGCAAAUUCACAUUCAUCACAAUCUAGGAGGAAGAGACUGUAGAGAGGGUUAGAGAUUUGUUUUCUCCUGGCUGUUGGGCCCCAAGUGACUGUCAGGUCUAAUCACUGUCCUGCACUUUUAAUGGUUAGAAAAAAAGUGAACCCAACCUGCAGGCCAGAGAUGGGGCCUCCCUACUCUUCUUCAGUCAAAAAUUUCAUGCUGGCCAGACAGAGACCUUUCGCUCCCUCAAACCAUGCUGAAUACAGUCUUAUUGUGGUCACUGGCUUGCCGAUCAAACAUCUAAAAGUGCAUUACUUAUAAACACAGGUUACCACUCUUUCAUGAACACCAGAUUCAAAGACUUUCAAGGACUGUUUAAAGCAUGUUUUAUUUUAUAUCAAUUGAGCACAAUAAAGACAAUAAAGGUGGGUUGGUUACUGCCAAUUUGGACAGUAUCAAAGACCUACUAGCCGUGUCUAUCAUUACUGCAGUAAUGUUAAGGCUUAUACUGACAUUAUUUAAGGGGCAUAUGACUUUUUUUAAAAUCCAAUGAGUAGAGAGGGCUGGUACAGUGUGUGUGUGUGUGUGUGUGUAUGUGUGUGUGAGAGAGAGAGCGGGCUUGAACCAUAGAUGCAGUUUGUAGCUUUCUUAUUCCUGCUUUUAACAUUUAUUUCACACUGGUUUUAUUUUUUUUAUGAAUCAUUACUUGAUUAAAAACAUUAAAAUAUAUAGAGAAUAUUAUAUACAUGAAUUUU